UACAGAUGUUUGGCUUUGGGAUGAUACACAGUGGGGUCUGGUUUCUGUCUAAUGAAAGUUAUAUUGACAUCAGACAUCUGCCUGGAUCGUACAACGCACACCAUCUCUGCAGAGGGGAAUGUCACUUCAACAGCAUGCAGAUCCCCUCCAGUCAUGACCCUAUUUGGAUUGUAGUAGGUGCAGUGCAGCAUGGCAGAAGCUGCUCCACAGGAUUGGCUUGACUGCCUUUAGCCAUCCAGAAAAAAAGAAUUAGCUCAUUGGAAAGUCUCCAAGCACAAAAAUGAAAGUGAUAAGCAGCACAAUAAAGGAAGAAUAGCCGUUUGGUGCAGCCUGUUCUCAGUGAGCUUCAAAGAGCAGUACAACAGACCAGAUGCAGCAGCAGACAUGACUUACAUUAGUUACUGAUGCAGAAAUGUUGAUUUUUAUCUGUCAUUAUGUGCACUGUGAACACAUGCUGUGGCCCUGUUGGUAUAGUAAUGAGAUGCUGGGACUCAUGAUAGUUGACAGUUCAGCGAUAGGUCAAUGAUAUUUUUGUUUAAGACAAAAACGGAAAGUGCAAAUUGUACGUUAAACAGUACAUAUACAGUAUACAAGGUUUGAAAUGCGUUUGUACUUGCUCAUAUCCGCAUGGGAGCAGCUUUAGUGUGGUGUUUUCUACAAAUGAGCAGACCUCCUGCUUCACAAGUACGUUAUCACCCAAUUUGGUCAAACUUCAACAGUGUUACAAAUUAUUAGCUCAGAUAAGGGAGAGUUCAGUGAAAUAUGAGGCGCUGCCCUCGAGAUAAGAGGAUUUAAAGGUUUCAAAUUAUUGGCAUUGUUGACCCCUUGGGAAGGUGUUGAAAUAUACCCAGGGGCAGAUAUGCCUGUUAAAAUUUCUGUAUAAUAAUAUGGAUUCAGACUUUAGACCAUGGUUAAGUGUUUUAUGGACAAUACAUUAAUAUGUUAGAUACAUGAUGUUGACGAAUUGCUGAAACGUCAUUAAAGGAGAAUACAUAUGGAA